rnacentral:rRNA from 6 species
AACUUUCAACAACGGAUCUCUUGGUUCUGGCAUCGAUGAAGAACGCAGCGAAAUGCGAUAAGUAAUGUGAAUUGCAGAAUUCAGUGAAUCAUCGAAUCUUUGAACGCACAUUGCGCCCUGUGGUAUUCCGCAGGGCAUGCCUGUUCGAG